rnacentral:rRNA from 1 species
GAUGAACGCUGGCGGCGUGCCUCAAACAUGCAAGUCGAGCGGGGCUAUGUAAUAUCGCAAGGUAGAACAUAGCCUAGCGGCGAACGGGUGAGUAACACGUGGGUAACCUGCCUGGAAGACAGGGAUAACGAUUCGAAAGGGUCGCUAAUACCUGAUAAUAUCCUUUCAUCGCAUGGUGAUAGGAAGAAAGGGGAAACCCGCUUUCAGAUGGGCCCGCGUCCCAUCAGCUAGUUGGUAAGGUAAAGGCUUACCAAGGCGACGACGGGUAGCCGGUCUGAGAGGAUGUACGGCCACACUGGGACUGAGAUACGGCCCAGACUCCUACGGGAGGCAGCAGUGGGGGAUAUUGCACAAAUGGGCGCAAGCCUGAUGCAGCGACGCCGCGUGAGGGAUGACGGCUUUCGGGUUGUAAACCUCUUUCGCUACGAACAAGGCUCCAUAUUGGUGGGUUGAGGGUAGGUGGAUAAGAAGCGCCGGCUAACUACGUGCCAGCAGCCGCGGUAA